rnacentral:rRNA from 1 species
UACGGAGGUCCCGAGCGUUGUUCGGAUUCACUGGGCGUAAAGGGUGCGCAGGUGGCUUGGCAAGUUUGAUGUGAAAGCUCAGGGCUUAACCCUGAAAUGGCAUUGAAUACUGUUGAGCUGGAGGUUUGGAGGGGGGACUGGAAUUCUUGGUGUAGCAGUGAAAUGCGUAGAUAUCAAGAGGAACACCAGUGGCGAAGGCGAGUCCCUGGACAACACCUGACACUGAGGCACGAAAGCUAGGGGAGCAAACAGG